rnacentral:rRNA from 1 species
CCUACGGGGGGCUGCAGUGGGGAAUAUUGCGCAAUGGGCGAAAGCCUGACGCAGCCACGCCGCGUGAGCGAUGAAGGCCUUCGGAUCGUAAAGCUCUGUGGGGAGAGAAGAAUAAAGCCUGUGAAGAGCAGGCCUUGACGGUAUCUCCUUAGCAAGCACCGGCUAACUCCGUGCCAGCAGCCGCGGUACUACGGAGGGUGCAAACGUUGCUCGGGUUCAUUGGGCGUAGGCGGCACGUAGGCUGCGCGGUGAAAACCCUGGGCUCAACCCAGGAAGUGCAUCCAAAACUGGCGGGCUGGAAUAUCGGAGGGGGUCGGAGAAUUCCCGGUGUAGAGGUGAAAUUCGUAGAUAUCGGGAGGAAUACCAGUGGCGAAGGCGCCGACCUGGACGAAGAUUGACGCUGAGGUGCGAAAGCGUGGGGAGCAAACAGGAUUAGAUACCCUAGUAGUC